GAAUUUUGGACAAUGGGCGAAAGCCUGAUCCAGCAAUGCCGCGUGCAGGAUGAAGGCCUUCGGGUUGUAAACUGCUUUUGUACGGAACGAAAAGCUUUGGGUUAAUACACUGGAGUCAUGACGGUCCCGUAAGAAUACGCACCGGCUAACCACGUUCCCGCAGCCGCGGGAAUACGUAGGGUGCAAGCGUUAAUCGGAAUUAUUGGGCGUAAAGCGUGCGCAGUCGGUUUUGUAAGACAGAGGUGAAAUCCCCGGGCUCAACCUGGGAACUGCCUUUGUGACUGCAAGGCUAGGGUACGGCAGAGGGGGGUGGAAUUCCGCGUGUAACAGUGAAAUGCGUAGAUAUGCGGAGGAACACCGAUGGCGAAGGCAACCCCCUGGGCCUGUACUGACGCUCAUGCACGAAAGCGUGGGGAGCAAACAGG
rnacentral:rRNA from 1 species